rnacentral:rRNA from 1 species
UACGAGGGGUGCAAGCGUUGUUCGGAAUUAUUGGGCGUAAAGGGUAUGUAGGCGGUUCUGCAAGUCUGGUGUGAAAUACCGGGGCUCAACCCCGGAACUGCGUUGGAAACUGCAGGACUUGAAUCGCUGAGGGGCAGCCAGAAUUCCAGGUGUAGGGGUGAAAUCUGUAGAUAUCUGGAAGAAUACCAAUGGCGAAGGCAGGCUGCCAGCAGAUGAUUGACGCUGAGGUACGAAGGUGCGGGGAGCAAAC